rnacentral:rRNA from 1 species
UACGUAGGGGGCAAGCGUUGUCCGGAUUUAUUGGGCGUAAAGCGCGUGUAGGCGGCUUGGUAGGUCAGCUGUGAAAACUCGAGGCUCAACCUCGAGAUGUCGGUUGAAACCACCUUGCUAGAGUCCGGAGGAGGAGAGUGGAAUUCCUGGUGUAGCGGUGAAAUGCGCAGAUAUCAGGAAGAACACCAAUGGCGAAGGCAGCUCUCUGGGACGGUACUGACGCUGAGACGCGAAAGCGUGGGGAGCGAACAGG